rnacentral:rRNA from 1 species
CAGCCGCCGCGGUAAUACGUAGGGGGCGAGCGUUGUCCGAAGUUACUGGGCGUAAAGCGCGCGUAGGCGGCUUCUUAAGUCUGAGGUGAAAGGUUCAACGCUUAACGUGAACAGUGCCUUGGAUACUGGGGAGCUUGAGUAUGGGAGAGGGCAGUGGAAUGGCUGGUGUAGCGGUGAAAUGCGUAGAUAUCAGUCGGAACACCCAUGGCGAAGGCAGCUGCCUGGCCUAAUACUGACGCUGAGGUGCGAAAGCGUGGGGAGCGAACGGGAUUAGAUACCCCAGUAGUCCCUGUCUCUUAUA